GUCAAGUUAAGUCAAGUUGAGCUUUAUUGUCAUUCUGCUACAUGUGGGGACAUACAGUGGAAUGAAAUGUCGUGCCUUACAGGACCACGGGUGUUAUAUAAAU